AAUAUACAGCUAUCCACAAUAUAAUAGGAGUAAAAUUCAAUAUGAUAUUUUUUGCAACUUAUAUAGUUAGAUGCACAACGGCAAAGUUAGCUGUAUAUCUACAUGUGUAUAUUUUGAAACAUAAUUAUUAUUUAAGCGAGCAAAGUGUUAUAUUGACAAAAUCAAACAAGUGUCCACCAUAAAGAGACUGCUGCAGCAAAGUGCCACCCGAAAUUUGAAGAAUAUAUUUGACGAUUCAGUUGUCCUCAGCCACAAUUUGGACGGGACGCACGGCAAGAAAAGACUCAAAACCUACGAGAAACUAUAUGCUGCUCUUCUGGAUUCAGUUUCUCAACUCCCGAAGGUCGAAAAUGCAGAGGACAUCCUACGCAAGGCCAUCCGAAUGCGGAAAAAGCGCAUUUUUAAAACCAUAUCUGCAUCAAAAGCCACCACCCAUACUUAACCUUUUGUUUUCUUCCUUUUGUUCACUUCACACUUUCUUUGAUUUUAAACUUUAUUACUUUCUUUGAUUUUAAAUUUUAUUACUUUCUUAAAUUGACCCAUAAGUUGCCUUAAUAUUUUAUACAUACAUAUACAUAUAUCAGGCAUGUGCUGCAAAUCGUUUUCGCAUGAAAGUGUCACACAAACACGUAUUUGUCGUUUGUUUCGGUGGCAGUUUCAUGCGAAAACGAUUUGCAGCACAUGCCCGUAUGUGCAUUGAAUUCAACAAUAGCAAAAAUUGUUCUAUAUACAUAGAUAUGAAUUGACAUGAAGAACUGAGUUUUUAUAUUAUAUGUUAAUACAAUUUUUUUUUAUUAUAAAAGUAUGAAAGUUGAAAGAGAACUGAAUUUUUAUGUUAAUAUUCCAUAUUAUAAGUGUGUAUUUUGUUAAUUUUAUGUGUGUCCAUAUAUUUCAAAACAAAAAAUAUAUCGG